rnacentral:rRNA from 1 species
CCUACGGGUGGCAGCAGUGGGGAAUAUUGCACAAUGGGGGAAACCCUGAUGCAGCGAAGCCGCGUGAGUGAAGAAGUAUUUCGGUAUGGAAAGCUCUAUCAGCAGGAACGAGACAAGACGGUACCUUACUAAGAAGCCCCGGCUAACUACGUGCCAGCAGCCGCGGUAAUACGGAGGGGGCAAGCGUUAUCCGGAAUCACUGGGUGUAAAGGGAGCGUAGACGGCUGAGCAAGCCUGAAGUGAAAGGCGGGGGCCCAACCCCCGGACUGCUUUGGGAACUGUACGGCUGGAGUGCAGGAGAGGUAAGUGGAAUGCGUAGUGUAGCGGUGAAAUGCGUAGAUAUUAGGAGGAACACCAGUGGCGAAGGCGGCUUACUGGACUGUAACUGACGUUGAGGCUCGAAAGCGUGGGGAGCAAACAGGAUUAGAUACCCCGGUAGUC